rnacentral:rRNA from 1 species
GUGCCAGCAGCCGCGGUAAUACGGAGGGGGCAAGCGUUAAUCGGAAUUACUGGGCGUAAAGCGUGCGUAGGCGGCUUGGUAAGCCGGUUGUGAAAGCCCCGGGCUCAACCUGGGAAUGGCAUCCGGAACUGUCAGGCUAGAGUGCAGGAGAGGAAGGUAGAAUUCCCGGUGUAGCGGUGAAAUGCGUAGAGAUCGGGAGGAAUACCAGUGGCGAAGGCGGCCUUCUGGACUGACACUGACGCUGAGGUACGAAAGCGUGGGUAGCAAACAGGAUUAGAAACCCGCGUAGUCC